rnacentral:rRNA from 1 species
AGAGUUUGAUCCUGGCUCAGAUUGAACGCUGGCGGCAUGCUUUACACAUGCAAGUCGAACGGCAGCGCGGGGCAACCUGGCGGCGAGUGGCGAACGGGUGAGUAAUAUAUCGGAACGUACCCAAGAGUGGGGGAUAACGUAGCGAAAGUUACGCUAAUACCGCAUACGAUCUAAGGAUGAAAGCAGGGGAUCUUCGGACCUUGUGCUCCUGGAGCGGCCGAUAUCUGAUUAGCUAGUUGGUGAGGUAAAGGCUCACCAAGGCCACGAUCAGUAGCUGGUCUGAGAGGACGACCAGCCACACUGGAACUGAGACACGGUCCAGACUCCUACGGGAGGCAGCAGUGGGGAAUUUUGGACAAUGGGCGAAAGCCUGAUCCAGCAAUGCCGCGUGAGUGAAGAAGGCCUUCGGGUUGUAAAGCUCUUUCGCAAGGAAAGAAAACUUAUCCAUUAAUACUGGGUGAGGUUGACGGUACCUUGAUAAGAAGCACCGGCUAACUACGUGCCAGCAGCCGCGGUAAUACGUAGGGUGCGAGCGUUAAUCGGAAUUACUGGGCGUAAAGCGUGCGCAGGCGGUUUGACAAGUCUGAUGUGAAAUCCCCGGGCUCAACCUGGGAACUGCGUUGGAAACUGUCAGGCUAGAGUGUAGCAGAGGGGGGUAGAAUUCCACGUGUAGCAGUGAAAUGCGUAGAGAUGUGGAGGAACACCGAUGGCGAAGGCAGCCCCCUGGGUCAAGAUUGACGCUCAUGCACGAAAGCGUGGGGAGCAAACAGGAUUAGAUACCCUGGUAGUCC